CGGUGUGGCGUCUAGUGGGAUCCAUGAUCUGAUACCAUUGCUGGAGCCCACCAGGAAGUGGUUUGGUGUCAGCACCGGAGAUUCGUCGUCAUCCAGUGGGACUGCUGUUAACGGCCGUGAAUUCACUACAUUUUCAAUUUCGAUUCCGGAUGAAUCGACACACAAAGGCUACGUGUCGUACUAGAGAUGACCACUUUGAGAAUCGUUUGGCAUCUAUUACUUCUCCUGGAUCUGUGCUGUGUAGGAGAAAAUGUGCGCGUAGUUCUGUGGCUGUUUUCGUUGGAGGUGGCGUCGAUGGCCAGUCCGUCUUCGUCUUUUUUAGGAACGGUGGUCCAUUGACCCAUCUACUGGACGAUUCGAGCGCAUCCUUCGUCCAUUUCGUGCCAUCAUCGGCGACGUUGUCCUUGGAUGGUACCCAUCUCCACUCGGAAAUAUCUGAGGAUUGUAGGAUUUCGCUAACUCGAAACGCUACAAAUUGGUGAUAUUUCCUAUGAUCGGAUGAUAGCCAGUUGAGUACGUCCUCGGAGUCGGUCCAGAACAUCCUCCUGUGGAUAGUAAAGCUCACAGACCUUUGUACUGUCUCGGCAAGUCGAACGCCAAUUACAGCUGCCUGCAGUUCCGACUUAGGGAUUGAUAGGAAGCUGAUCGGUGCUACCUUCGUCUUUGCACUUACUAUGCUACAUUCUAUGAUACCUUUAUCUUCGAAACGAAGGUAGCAGACUGCCGCGAAGCCCAUCUCGCUCGCGUCUACAAACGUGUGGAGCUCUAUUUCAGCGUCUGUUCCUGUUUGGUUUCUGAAACAGCGCGGUAUUUUUAGGCCAGCUAUCUCGGGCAAAUCUUGUGUCCAUUUUAGCCACUUUUCCUCCUGUUGGGGAGGGAUACUGUCGUCCCAACCUAUCGACGAUCGCCACAGCUCCUGAAUUAUUACCUUUAGUCGCAUGACGAAAUGGGCUAUGAAUCCGAGUGGGUCAAAAAUGGUCAUUUGUACUCGUAGUAGUUGUCGCUUUGUUGGACCCUUUUCUUGUGGCAUAGUUAGCUCCUUAAGUUUGUCGGAUAUACGGAACGUAAAGCAGUCAUUUUUAACGUCCCACCACAUUCCGAGUACCUUCUCUGUCUGGGUUUCUCCGAUGUCUAGGUUUUUUUCUUCGGGAGCCGAUGAGCCUAGGAGUGACCUACUGACUGUGGCUGAAUUAGAGAUCCAAUUUCUCAUUUCGAAGCCGGCUGCUGCGUGGAUCUCUGCUACCUUUGUCGCUGUAUUUAUGGCUGCUGCUUCGGUUUCUGCACUGAGCAGCAUGUCGUCUACGUAGUGCUGUUGAAUAAUAGCGUUGACUGCUUCGGGCUGUUGUGACAUGUAUUGCUCUGCAUUAUGAUUUUUUACGUAUUGGGCUAUACUUGGCGAGCAGCACGCUCCGAAAGUCAUCACCUGCAUUACGUACACUUCGGGUUCGUCUUCCAAUUCUCCUUGUUGCCAGAAAAAACGUUGGCAUUGUUGGUCGUCCUUCUUGACCAAGACUUGGUGAAACAUUUAAGGGAAUUUAGAAAAAGGCCUUUAAAAUCAACUGUGAUGUGGCUUUUUCGUUGUUUUCUUCUAGAUUCGCUCGAAAAUGAUGUUUUCUAUCGUUAUAAUUGGUCAGGUAGCCAUUUUAUACUUAAAUAAUAUUGAUUUUUUAUAAAAUAACGUCACACAAAAUUAGCUUUUGUUUUUCAUUAAAAAUCGAAGCUAUGUGUGUAAAAUGAGCUCGACGGCAUCGUCAAUCGAUAGAAGCAAGUCUAAUUUACGAACUCACCAAAUUUUAGCGCUUUCAGCACACUUGAUCAGACACAAAUCCACAAUUUCAAGCGUAUCGAGUACUAAUCAAGCAGAUAUGGGAAAACAAUUUCGUUUUUUUUUUUUUUAACUUUACCACGUAAGUUGGCAACCAGCAUACCCGGGUAUUCCAUACAUUUUGUAUGGAGAAUGACGUUUCUCUUCUUCCUCUUUUCGUAUUGUGCUUAUUUUCGAGUCAAAUUCAAGCGAUUACAAAUUUCAAUUUGACCGUUAGUUUUAUAAUAAAAUGAAAAAAAACUUAAUGAAUAAAUGAAAUAGAAGAUAA